UUGUGACUCCAAUGUUUGAACUUUACUCUUGAGAUCAUCAUAACUUUGUGAAAGGAAGGUAACUGUUGAUUGUAUAUGCAGAAUUUUGAAGUUUAAUCUCCUCUACAGAGGCAUACAAUUGGUCAAAUUUACUGUUCUGUUCUACCUUGAAGUCAGAAAACAUGGUUCUCAUUUCCGUUAUGAAUGAAUAUAAAGAUAAGUCCAUAUCUUGGCUAAUCCCCGACUCAGUGAAUUUACGCUUGCUACUAUGGCGGAUAACGUUCAUAAGUUUACUAUCGGUGCUGGCAAGCCUAUCGAAGUUAGAUAUAUCAGGUUCAGAAGAGCCAUGGUGCAACGUUUAGCGGCUCCAGGACGUAGGACGUUGAUGGGGGUGAUCUGUUUAUCGGCAUAUUUUUAACAAAUCGCAGUGGGAUACCUACAUAAGCAGAGAAGGCACUAGUCUGCCCGUCGGUUGGGUCCCUCCAUCUGUAAGGACUGAAGACAAACCUUCAUGAAUUGAUGUACUUCAUAACAAACAGUAUUUGCAACAUGAACGUAAUCUAUAUUUAUUUGCAUUUAAUGUAUGUGGCCUUAAUUGCAAUGCUUUUUAUUCAAUAAAAAAUGCAUUUAUAGUA